rnacentral:rRNA from 1 species
GCUAAAUACUCCCGAGAGACCGAUAGCGAACCAGUACCGUGAGGGAAAGGUGAAAAGCACUUCGAACAGAAGAGUGAAAUAGUUCCUGAAACCGUGCGCCUACAAGCGGUCGGAGCUCGUUAAUGAGUGACGGCGUGCCUUUUGCAUAAUGAACCUACGAGUUGCCUUUGCCGGCAAGGUUAAGUGUGACGACACACGUAUCCGAAGCGAAAGCGAGUCUGAAGAGGGCGUAUAGUCGGCAGUGGCAGACGCGAAACCAAGUGAUCUACCCUUGGCCAGGUUGAAGGCUGGGUAACACCAGCUGGAGGACCGCACCAAUAAGCGUUGAAAAGCUUCUGGAUGAGCUGAGGGUAGGGGUGAAAGGCUAAUCAAACUUGGAGAUAGCUCGUACUCCCCGAAAUGCAUUUAGGUGCAGCCUUGCGGGUUACUGAUGUGAGGUAGAGCGACUGAUAAGAUGCGAGGGCUUCACCGCCUAUCAAGUCUUGACAAACUCCGAAUGCGCAUCAGUUCUACCGCAGGAGUGAGGGCAUGGGUGCUAAGGUCCGUGCCCGAGAGGAGAAGAAUCCGGACCACCUGCUAAGGUCCCGAAAUGACAGCUAAGUUAAACUAACGAAGUCUGACUGCUAAGACAGCUAGGAUGUUGGCUUGGAAGCAGCCAUUCAUUUAAAGAGUGCGUAACAGCUCACUAGUCGAGGAGUCGGGCGUGGAUAAUAAUCGGGUAUGAAGUUGUCUACCGAAGCAGUGGGAUCAUUGAUAUGAUCGGUAGGGGAGCAUUCCAGUCAGCGUCGAAGGCGUACCGUGAGGUAUUCUGGAGCGUCUGGAAAAGCAAAUGUAGGUAUAAGUAACGAUAAAGGGGGCGGGAAACCCCCUCGCCGAAAGACUAAGGUUUCCUGAUCAACGCUAAUCGGAUCAGGGUCAGUCGGGUCCUAAGGCUCAGCCGAACGGCGAUGCCGAUGGCAGAAACGGUUAAUAUUCCGUUACUACCUUCAGGAGUGACGUGGAGACGCAGUAGUGACAGUGCCGCCAUCUGACGGAAUAGAUGGUUGAAGGGUGUAGGAGUCGAUCAUGGCAGGCAAAUCCACCAUGAGAUCCGAACCUGAUAGUAUGCCGCGUCCUUCGGGACAAGGCAAUAGUGCGCGUAAGCAUGCUGCCGAGAAAAUCCGCUAAACUUAAUCCUGCAGGUACCCGUACCGCAAACGGACACACGUAGUCGGGAUGAAUAUUCUAAGGCGCUUGAGUGAUUCACGGUUAAGGAACUAGGCAAACUGACCCUGUAACUUCGGGAUAAAGGGUCCCUACCCUUUUAUGGGAGGGCGCAGAGAAUCGGUCCAGGCAACUGUUUAACAAAAACACAGGGCUGUGCCAAAUCGAAAGAUCCAGUAUACAGCCUGACACCUGCCCGGUGCUGGAAGGUUAAGAGGAGAUGUCAUCGAUAAGAGAAGCGUUGAAUUGAAGCCCCAGUAAACGGCGGCCGUAACUAUAACGGUCCUAAGGUAGCGAAAUUCCUUGUCGGGUAAGUUCCGACCUGCACGAAUGGUGUAAUGAUCUGGACGCUGUCUCAACCGUGAGCUCAGUGAAAUUGUAGUAUCGGUGAAGAUGCCGAUUACCCGCGAUGGGACGAAAAGACCCCGUGAACCUUUACUAUAGCUUAUCAUUGAAUCUGGGCACGUGAUGUGUAGGAUAGGUCGGAGGCUUUGAAGCAGGUACGCCAGUAUUUGUGGAGCCGCUGUUGAAAUACGACCCUUUAUUUGUUUGGAUUCUAACCCGUGGAACGGGGACAUUGAUUGGUGGGUAGUUUGACUGGGGUGGUCGCCUCCAAAAGCGUAACGGAGGCUUCUAAAGGUGCCCUCAGACCGAUUGGUAACCGGUCGCAGAGUGUAAUGGCAUAAGGGCGCUUGACUGGGAGAGAUACAACUCGAUCAGGUAGGAAACUAGAGCAUAGUGAUCCGGUGGUUCCGCAUGGAAGGGCCAUCGCUCAAAGGAUAAAAGGUACUCCGGGGAUAACAGGCUGAUCAUUCCCAAGAGCUCAUAUCGACGGAAUGGUUUGGCACCUCGAUGUCGGCUCGUCACAUCCUGGGGCUGGAGAAGGUCCCAAGGGGUGGGCUGUUCGCCCAUUAAAGUGGCACGCGAGCUGGGUUCAGAACGUCGUGAGACAGUUCGGUCUCUAUCUAUCGUGGGCG